CUCAGCAGCCAUAUCACCCUGCAACUCACAACUGGCAGCCCACUGAAGCUCAGCAGGUGUGAGCCUGGUCAGGACCUGGAUGGGAGACCUCCUGGGGAAAACUAAGGUUGCUGCUGGAA
rnacentral:rRNA from 1 species